GCGCCCAUAGCUCAAUCGGAUAGAGCGUUUGACUACGAAUCAAAAGGUUAGAGGUUCAACUCCUCUUGGGCGCG
rnacentral:tRNA from 1 species